rnacentral:rRNA from 1 species
UACGGGAGGCAGCAGUGGGGAAUAUUGCACAAUGGGGGAAACCCUGAUGCAGCAACGCCGCGUGAAGGAAGAAGGUUUUCGGAUUGUAAACUUCUUUUGUUAGGGACGAAAAAUGACGGUACCUAACGAAUAAGCUCCGGCUAACUACGUGCCAGCAGCCGCGGUAAU